AAUUUAUAAGUAUUAAUUUAUCUUCAGACACAAGAAGUCGCGUCUCGGGUACUUUCCAAAAUAUUUCGCACCCAAAUUCGCCUCUCCAAUGCUUUGUUUCCACCUUCAUCAGAGUUCCGAGUAUUCUUGACUUUCUUCACUGUGCCGUUUCCAUCUUCACCUUCGCGUCUCAACUUCUUCAUCUUCAGUCUUCGCGUCUCGACUUCUCCACCUUCAUAACGCUUUGUCACUUCGCAAUCCCUGGUUUCCUUGCCUUCUCCUCCUCCAAAUCCCUAAUUCCGAAAACCAAGCAUUUUUUAGGAGCUUGUGAUUCGCACAGCCUUCGUGUCUCGCCAUUUCCAUCUCUCAAUCUUCGUGUCUCUUCGUUUCCAUCUUCACAGCCUUCGCGUCUCGACUUCUCCAUCCUCACAGUCCUUUGUCACUUCUCAAUCCCUAAUUCCCUUGUCUUUCUCUGCUUCAAAUCCCUAAUUCCCUUGUCUUUCCCUGUUUCAAAUCCCUAAUUCCGAAAACCAAGAAUCAUUAGGAGGUCGCCGAUCUUGCGAUUGGUGUUUUUGAGGAGCUUGCGAGUUGUACAAGGUGGAAUCAGUCGUUUACCGGAGCCACUUCUUCUUCACGGCCUCCUCGACGGUAUUACUUCGGGUGUGUGUCGUUUGGGUGGUUUGGUGGUGUUUGCUUGGCCAUUGGAGUGAUGCAUAUGGUGUGUUUUAAGAUGUAAGCUUGUUAAGUUUUGUUAGAUAUUACUGACUUCAAAGAUGCAUAUGGUGGUUUGGUGGUGUUUGCUUGGCUCAUUACUUUGAAUCAAAGUUGUUGUUGUUAGAUAUUACUGACUUCUCUGUGAAGUUGCAGAAUAAAUUUAGAUGUUCCCGAAAGAUACCGUCUUUGAAAAGAUCAAUAUCGGAGGCAACCUUGAAGCGAGUGUCUCGUUUGUUUGGUUCCUUUUCUAUCCUUUCUUCACAAGGAGAAACAAGAGGAAUUGUGCGUCAACAAAGCAGUGCCGCUGAAAGUUUCAAUCCUCCAAUGCUUAAGAGGAAUGCUUCUACUGCAUCUGAUAUAAGUAGCACUGCUUCCCAGGGUGGUCCAACACUUCCAGGUUAUACUUUAGAAAUAUAGGUUGCCUUAUUAAUCAAUAAUGAAGAUGCUACUAAUCCAGCUAAAAGAUUAAUGUCACAUAUUACAGAAACUAGUUCCAUAAUUUUGUACAUAAGGAAUGUUGAGAAGCUCGUUCUUCAAUCAAGGUUAUAUUACAGUUAACUAUUUAUUUAUUUGAGUUUUAAAUAUUUUUAUUAAUAUAGAUAAAAUUCUUAAUUAGGCAUUUUUAUAAUAUUUUAUUUAUGCAAGUAAGAAUACUUAUGUUCAUUUUAAGUUUUAUUAUAUUCUAUUUUAUAUAUGUAAAAUUAAAUAGUUAUAUGUGUUUCGUGGAAACUAAUUAUACUUUGUUUUGUUAACUGAAAGCAGUAUAAAAUUGUUAUAUGUGUGUUAUGUUCUAUGUUUUGGUUGAUCAUUCAUAAAAGAGACUGUUAUGUGUCUUAGAAUGUGAUUGAUUAUAUUAUGUAUCUGUGAAUUGACUACAUGAGUCAAGAAAUAUACGUGGGAAGUUACUCUGCUUAAGUGUAGAAUUAAGACAUUUCAGAAAUUAUGAUAUGUGUAUGGUAGCCUUCAAUUGAUUAGGAAAUGGGUAUAAUGUCGUAAGCAACAUGGUAUGAAUGGAAUGCUAUCAUGUAUAAAUUAACUGCGUAAUCAGCUAUACUGUAAUUUUUAGGGGUAACAUUGAUAUUGUUUCAUACAACAUUUGGGUUAAAUAAGCAUGCAUAAGGUUGUGGGUUGAAAUAUAAUAAUGAGGUAUAGUGUGUAGUGAAAACUGGUUGCAUUGAUGACUUAAAAGCAUUAUAAUGUGACUGUAAGGGCAUGAAUUUACGCUGUUAAAAUAUAGAAUCUUGAUGUAUAUAGUGAAAAUUGAUUAAAUCAAGUUUAAUAGACAUAAAGUAGUUAUUAUCAAAUUAAACAUGCUUGGUUUACCUAAAUGAACUUGCUAUGUGUCUUAUUGGAGGAGUUGCAUGAUCAAAAUAAUAUUAGGUGUUGUAAUGGAAGGAAUCUAAGUAUUUGUAGCAUUUCCUAAUAACUUAGAGUUGUUGGUUGUAUUGAAAAAAAAAGGCUGCUAGUAUACAGAUUAAAGAUUAGAUUAUUGAUAUAUCAUGCAUUCUGGUAUUAUAUAAUUCAAUGAUGAUUAAAUUGUGAAAUGGACCGUAGAGUGACAUGUUAGUCUGAUGAAUGAUGUGUAUUAUGAAACUUAGUUGUGUAAAUGGUUGUCCGAGACCUGCAAGUGCUGGAAAUUUAAUUCUAUACGUGUUCAAUAAUGUGUUGGUUUUGGGUGAAGCUAGCUAAGAUUUCCAUGAUAUAAGUAUAUUUUGAUUGCUAAAUACUGUUGGUUUCUGUUUUUCAUAUAAAAAAUAAAAUCUUCAAAUAUACCUCUGGAGGUAUACUUGUUAAGCGAGACAAUUCAUUUGAAUAAAAAAUAUUAAUUAUUAAAUUUAACCAAGAAUAAUCAGAAUUAUAACAUUACACCAAAGAAAAAAAUCACCUAAACACUGAGACUGAAAUUGCAAUGAAUGAAAUUCACUGCCAAUGACCAUCUAUUGAUAGAUAACAGACGUAUCAAUGUUUUAACACGAAAAACUGCAAAUUCUGCUAUUGAUCAGUAAACUCUAAUGAUAAUACAUGGUAAAGGUUAAGAGCAUAAGGAAAUUUUCCCAUCACCAAUAAAAUUAUAACACUGUUCGUGCUUAUUAGCCUUUACUCUGAUAACAUCAAUCUAUAAUUUGUUGUGUCAAGGAAUUGUAGUUGUUUUUCUUCAAUCAUGCAGUAUCCUGGAACAACGUCCAUGCCUUCCGUCGAUCACAAAGUUCAUCUCUUCUAACUCACCAAUUACAACUGAUAAAUAAAAUUUUGGUAAACUAGUUUAAUCACUACAUAAUUUUGAACCUAAACAGCUGCACCGAAAUCAUCGUCCCUGCAAGAUGAGCAUUACCAUCACUUUGCCAUAUAUUCAAAACUAUUAACCACCUUAUAUUUCAAUAUUCCAAGCCAUGGCAGGGUAAAUAUAUGGACUCUCAAACGACCAACAGGGAAGUUAUUUAUCAUCAACUAAAGACAUUACAGGAAUUCCCUUGUUAGAAAAGCCUGAGCACACCACUCGCAUCUCAUCGCCUAUUGUAAAGUCCCUACUAUUAUUUUCCUGCACGAUAGAACAGUAACAGGUUAGCAAGUGAAUUGAAUGGCUCAUGGUGCAGACAAAAAGACAAUACAAAGAUGGAUUCCUACCUCAAACCGUUACAGAAGCCUUAUCUUUGCAGUCUUCUUAGCAUUAGUAUAUGGCAAGGGACCUGAAUGAGAAGUUGAAGAAUCGAUAACAUCUUGAGAUUUACGAGAUUUUGAUUUCGGUGCAGAAUGAAUUGCAUUUUGAGAUGGACGUGAUUUUGACUUGCGAUCCAAUUGGACCCCAUUAUCUACUUGAGGAACUUUGGAAGAUUUCUCCUCUUCAUCACACUCGGCAGCACUACGUAUUACAAUUACUGGUACUUGGGAGGUUGGGGAUUUUGCUUCACCCGACUCAAGAUCACCUAAAGACAACUCAGAAGCAGAAUUUUGUUGUUCUUGUACUCUAGACGCAUUCCCGUCUGUUUCUUUUGCGGACGUAACAGAUCCUUCAGUUACAUCAUUAGUCUCCAAUAUUCCAGGACGAGGAAAAGUUGCUUUAAGGGAUAAUUUGAUGUUACCAUAAACAUCUUGGCCUAUGCACAUCAAAGAAAGCUUCUGGCCAACAGACACAACCUCUGAAAC